AUAUAUAUAUAUAUAUAUAUAUAUAUAUAUAUAUAUAUGUGUGUGUGUGUGUGUGUGUGUCAUGGUUGUAUAAUAUGCUGAACUGAAAUGUGCCAGUAAACAUUGAGGGUAAUGUUUGUCAAUUUUGAAUGACAUAGGCCUGAGAUGGGUCUGUUCUUCAGAAAUGAAGCAAAGUGCUAUGAACUACAUUUUGCUGUUGUGCUAAUGGCCUCUCCCUGUUGUACUGAACUGACAGUUUGAACUCUGAAGAGGUUUUAGUACACCAGCUCAAUGUCAUUGCAUGUCAUCUUUCUUCUUUUAUAACUGCCCCACUCAUCCAGAAAUUGUGCAUUUUACACAUUGUUCAAUUUAAGUUUUCACUUGGUGUUGUGAAAUACCGAGUGGAAUGAAUUAAAGAAUAUUUUGGAUAUCAGUACAUGUAAUUUUGUGUGCAAUAGUGGUCACAUGUUUAUUUUUGACUUGUACUUAUGUAUAUACUUAUUCUAGUCUCCAGUAAAAAUAAGGCUUAAACUUUCUUCAGAAUGGUAAAUUUUAAUUUGCUUGGUUCAUAACUGAUGAACAGUUACUGCUAUGAACCUUUUUAUUUAAAAAUGCCCUGACACUGGUUUGAAUUAUGUGAUGAAAUAUUGACAGUUGUAUGACGUGUCUGAAUCAGUGCACAAAUAUUAAAAAUAGCCUUGUUGAAGGCAUUAUUUUUAACACCUAUGUUAGUCUUUUCUGGAAUGUGUGUGUCCUUGGUAUUUGAACAAACACCAAAAUAUCUAUGGAAAUUAAAAAGUCAUACUGUUUUGUUGAAUGUUUUUUUUUAAGUUAUGAAUUUUAGAGAACAUUUUUAUUUACUACUUUUUAUUUUUCUGUGAUCUAUAAAUGAUUUGUGGCGUACAAAUUUAAAUUGCACUGAUUUGAUAUUUGCGAAUAUGACUGAAUAUUAUAAGGGAACCAAUCUGAAAAAUGUAAUUAGGCUACUGCUUGUGGCUGGAUAAGAAGUGGAUCAUCAAAUAUUGUGCAGGUAAUAUACAAUACUGUAAUGUACUGUAGUUUAUUGUGAUCGUAGCAAUGUGUUUUAUGUAAAGUAGUUUUGUUGCAUCCUAGCUGUAAUGGUUGUAGUUUGUAGUGUGUGAAUGCUAAAUAAGUUCUGCUCACAAUCUAUGUCAAGGUAGAAGCAUGAGGUGUAAGUUGACUGGUGUAGCAUUUUAGCAUUGAUACCCAGCGCCAAUGUAAGGUGGUAUUUGUGCUGCAGCAUUUCAGUUGUGUGGCUGUGCUGUAUAAACAGGGUUUAGUAUGGGGUGUGAAAUCUAGUGAAUGGCUGUCAACAAUUUGAGCUUGACUUACGAGGUACCAGUAUAUAGAAUGCUGUUUUACAAUUGUGCUACUCUGCACAACAAAGUAUAAGGGGUAAUUUCAUGUGCAGUGUGUGCACCAUGCCUGCUGGCAUGUUGUGUCAACGUGGUCAUGCCAGAAAAUACGUUGAAGCUGCUGUGUGGCAGGAAUCACAUUGUGCUACGUGCUAAUACGUCUUUUCUCACCACAUAAACUCCAGAAGUCCCUGCAGUCAUGUGGAUACUGUACGACCAAGAGACAGUUGAGACUACACAUUUACUGUUCCUGGAAUUGGCUACUUCAUACUCUGCAUUAUAAAAAUACAGUUGUGGAACUACCUUUUUAAACUAUUGGUGGUUUCCUAGAAAGUGUAAGAUUCCCGUUGAUGCUGUCGUCGUUUCAUAGCAAGUGUAAGGUUCCUGUUGAUGCUUUUCGUCGUAACCUGUGAAUUGGCACUAAACAUAACAACUUAAUGACAGUUGGGAGUCUGGCAGUUAAAACAUCAAAACAGGUUGUGCUAAACAUGAAAAAAAAUUAUGUACCUAAUAUUGGUGUCAUGUUCAAGUUAUUCAAGAUUUCACAGUAUCUCAUUGUUAAAAAAAGGCACAAGAUGUAUUUAACUUAUAUUAAAAACAUUUACAUAAUUGAUACAAACAAUAUUAGGUUCUACUUAUACACACAUUGUAAAAUACCUGUCUUUAAAGUAAUUUUCUAUUAGAAGAAACUUGGCUGCUAUUGGCUAUAAAAUAGUUACACAUAAUGCAGUUGGAACUUAUGUGCUUUGGAAUACGUGCACAUUAACAAGCUUGAUGCAGUGCAUCUGUUAAAAUCUGGUAACAUAACAUGUUUACAUGGCGGAUGGGAGAUGCAACAUGCCGAAGAAAAGCAGCUUCACCUUAACACUUAGGAAGUUAGCUGCAAUGUCCACGACACAUUGUGUGUGCCCAGCUCCCUGCAUGGUACCCCUCCGCAAACACACCAUCACCCUGGCCACCAGCACCAUUCCAGUGUUCCCCUCACGUGGUCGUACUCCCAUGCUACUGCCAAGGCCGUUCCCCACCCCCUCCCCUCGACGCUCCUGCACGGUGCCGCCGAGACGGGCCCAGCUGAGCGCCGCUUGCAGAGCCGGGGGUCGAGGUCGGGGUCGCAGCUGCUGCCGUGGGUCGACUCCCGGGCCGCCGGGCAGUGGUGACUAGACAGAGCUUCUUUUCAGACUGUCGAAGAUGUGGAAAAGAAAUAAGUUAUGUUGCAGUAAAGUUUUGUUCAGUGUUAGUAACAAACCACUGCUUCAUGAUGAUUGGAUGUAUAUGUGUAUGUAUUGAUAAAAUAAAGUUUUUAAGACUA